rnacentral:rRNA from 1 species
UAAGCAUAUCAAUAAGCGGAGGAAAAGAAACCAACAGGGAUUGCCCUAGUAACGGCGAGUGAAGCGGCAACAGCUCAAAUUUGAAAUCUGGCCUUCGGGUCCGAGUUGUAAUUUGUAGAGGAUGCUUUUGGCGCGGUGCCUUCCGAGUUCCCUGGAACGGGACGCCUUAGAGGGUGAGAGCCCCGUACGGUUGGACACCAAGCCUCUGUAAAGCUCCUUCGACGAGUCGAGUAGUUUGGGAAUGCUGCUCUAAAUGGGAGGUAAAUUUCUUCUAAAGCUAAAUACCGGCCAGAGACCGAUAGCGCACAAGUAGAGUGAUCGAAAGAUGAAAAGCACUUUGAAAAGAGGGUUAAAUAGCACGUGAAAUUGUUGAAAGGGAAGCGUUUACGGCCAGACCUUUUCCUGGCGGAUCAUCUGGUGUUCUCACCAGUGCACUCCGCCAGGUUUAGGCCAGCAUCGGCUCCCGUAGGGGGAUAAAAGCAGUGGGAAAGUAGCUCCCUCGGGAGUGUUAUAGCCCGCUGCACAAUACCCUUACAGGGGCCGAGGACCGCGCUUUUGCAAGGAUGCUGGCGUAA